rnacentral:rRNA from 1 species
CCUACGGGCGGCUGCAGUGAGGAAUAUUGGUCAAUGGACGAGAGUCUGAACCAGCCAAGUGGCGUGAAGGAUGACUGCCCUAUGGGUUGUAAACUUCUUUUAUAUGGGAAUAAAAUGUUCCACGUGUGGGAUUUUGUAUGUACCAUAUGAAUAAGGAUCGGCUAACUCCGUGCCAGCAGCCGCGGUAAUACGGAGGAUCCGAGCGUUAUCCGGAUUUAUUGGGUUUAAAGGGAGCGUAGGUGGAUUGUUAAGUCAGUUGUGAAAGUUUGCGGCUCAACCGUAAAAUUGCAGUUGAAACUGGCAGUCGUGAGUACAGUAGAGGUGGGCGGAAUUCGUGGUGUAGCGGUGAAAUGCUUAGAUAUCACGAAGAACUCCGAUUGCGAAGGCAGCUCACUGGACUGCAACUGACACUGAGGCUCGAAAGUGUGGGUAUCAAACAGGAUUAGAUACCCCAGUAGUC